rnacentral:misc_RNA from 1 species
GAUGAAGAACGUAGUGAAAUGCGAUACUUGGUGUGAAUUGCAGAAUCCCGUGAACCAUCGAGUCUUUGAACGCAAGUUGCGCCCGAAGCCACUAGGCCGAGGGCACGCCUGCCUGGGCGUCACACGCCGUUGCCCCCCCAUCUACUCCUUCGGGAUUGCGGGGGGGCGGAUGAUGGCCUCCCGUGCGCCUAGCCGCGCGGUUGACAUAAAUACCAAGUCCUCGGCGACGCACGCCACGACAAUCGGUGGUUGCGAAACCUCGGUUGCCCGUCGUGUGCGUUCGUCGCGCAUCGAGGGCUCGAAAAAAUGCUCGGCUCCGGCUGGGCUUUCAACGCGACCCCAGGUCAGGCGGGGUUACCCGCUGAAUUUAAGCAUAUCAAUAAGCGGAGGA